rnacentral:rRNA from 1 species
ACGCUAGCGGGAGGCCUAACACAUGCAAGCCGAGCGGUAUAAGAUCUUCGGAUCUUAGAGAGCGGCGCACGGGUGCGUAACACGUGUGCAACCUACCUUUAUCUGGGGGAUAGCCUUUCGAAAGGAAGAUUAAUACCCCAUAAUAUAUUGAAUGGCAUCAUUUAAUAUUGAAAACUCCGGUGGAUAAAGAUGGGCACGCGCAAGAUUAGAUAGUUGGUGAGGUAACGGCUCACCAAGUCAAUGAUCUUUAGGGGUCCUGAGAGGGAGAUCCCCCACACUGGUACUGAGACACGGACCAGACUCCUACGGGAGGCAGCAGUGAGGAAUAUUGGACAAUGGGUGAAAGCCUGAUCCAGCCAUCCCGCGUGAAGGAUGACGGUCCUAUGGAUUGUAAACUCCUUUUGUAUAGGAAUAAACCUUUCUACGUGUAGAAAGCUGAAGGUACUAUACGAAUAAGCACCGGCUAACUCCGUGCCAGCAGCCGCGGUAAUACGGAGGGUGCAAGCGUUAUCCGGAUUUAUUGGGUUUAAAGGGUCCGUAGGCGGACCGAUAAGUCAGUGGUGAAAUCUCAUAGCUUAACUAUGAAACUGCCAUUGAUACUGUCGGUCUUGAGUAAAUUUGAAGUGGCUGGAAUAAGUAGUGUAGCGGUGAAAUGCAUAGAUAUUACUUAGAACACCAAUUGCGAAGGCAGGUCACUAAGAUUAACUCGACGCUGAUGGACGAAAGCGUGGGUAGCGA